GACGAACCGUGCUAACGUUGUUCGGAAUCACUGGGCUUAAAGGGUGCGUAGGCGGCCGGGUAAGUCGGGUGUGAAAUGCCUCAGCUCAACUGAGGAACGGCGCCCGAUACUGCCCGGCUCGAGGGAGGUAGGGGCGCGUGGAACUUCCGGUGGAGCGGUGAUAUGCGUUGAUAUCGGAAGGAACGCCGGCGGCGAAAGCGACGCGCUGGACCUCUGCUGACGCUGAGGCACGAAAGCUAGGGGAGCGAACGGG
rnacentral:misc_RNA from 1 species